rnacentral:rRNA from 1 species
UAACACGUAGGAUCCAAGCGUUAUCCGGAUUUACUGGGCGUAAAGCGCGUGCAGGUGGUUUGGUAAGUUGGGUGUUAAAUCUUUCGGCUCAACCGAGAGGUGUCGCUCAAGACUCCCAGACUGGAGGACGGUAGAGGUAGGCAGAAUUCCGGGUGUAGUGGUGAAAUGCGUAGAUAUCCGGAGGAAUACCAGUGGCGAAGGCGGCCUACUGGACCGUUCCUGACACUCAGACGCGAAAGCUAGGGGAGCAAACGGGAUUAGAAACCCCGGUAGUCCUAGCUGUAAACGAUGUGAACUUGGUGUUGGUGGGGUAAAACCUGCCGGUGCCGUAGCUAACGCGAUAAGUUCACCGCCUGGGGACUACGGCCGCAAGGUUA